rnacentral:sRNA from 1 species
CUCACCACUUAACUAUCUCAACUCUCUCUUUCUUCUACCGAGGCAAGCACCAAGAGGGUGCAACCCCGUGAACCACCACCACUUGCUGUCUCUGGCGAGCCAAACCUUCACCUGCUACCAAAUCUCGCCACGUCGAUGAAGGUUAUCCACGUUCCAGCCCAGAACUAGAAACACAGUUACAAAAUCGAAACCAAACCUCGACCUCCAUGCUUUCCGGUGAGGCAUCACUAUCUUCCGACCAAGAUCAAUUCGAGGGGAAUCUCCCUAGUUUUCUGGUGAAAGACCCACGAGUUGCAAGAGUCUUCCUGCCGUUUUCCGGCCACGGCAAAGACCCAAAAUGGUAAAACACAUCGCAAGGAUCUUGAUGCCCGUGAGGUGGGUUCGACUCGAUAACAUGAUUUGUGAGUGGGUCUUUAUAUAUAUAGGUUAGUUUCCAUAUAUACAAUUUUUAAUAAAUUCUCUACGUGAUUGCCAUGAUUAAACUAACGCUUAUAAGAAAUGCCUUAUCGUUGGGAAAUGAUGAAAUAAUAAUGUGGGAUGCACAUGUAAGCUUAUUAUUAA